rnacentral:SRP_RNA from 1 species
GCGGCAGGUAGGCUUGGGGGGCUCGCCAUCCCCUGUAACCUGAAACUGGCGACACGCAGGGAGCGGAUAACCGUGGGGACAGGGCUGAUUCACGCAGCCGGCGGCGGCUGGUCUGUGAAGACUGUCCUUACUGGGCAGGUGUAGCAGCCGCAUCCGCUGUAGGGUGGGUGUGUCUGCCUAAUUACCGAACCCCGCUAGGCCCGGGAGGGAGCAGCGGUAAGGUAAGCUACCUGCGUUAGUAUGAGACGGCCGGAGGGUAAACCAGUUGCAUGCUGGUUGCGUUGAAAAAGCUCGAUCUUCACGGGGCUGCCGC